AGCAGCCGCGGUAAUUCCAGCUCCAAUAGCGUAUAUUAAAGUUGUUGCAGUUAAAAAGCUCGUAGUUGAAUUUCGGGGUCAGUAGAUUGGUCGUGCCACAGGUAUGUACUGGUCUUACUGGCUCCUCCUUCCUGAUGAACCGUAAUGCCAUUAAUUUGGUGUUGCGGGGAGACUGGACUGUUACUUUGAAAAAAUUAGAGUGUUUAAAGCAGGCUAACGCUUGAAUACAUUAGCAUGGAAUAAUGAAAUAGGACGUUCGAUCUUAUUUUGUUGGUUUCUAAGAUUGACGUAAUGAUUAAUAGGGAUAGUUGGGGGCAUUAGUAUUCAAUUGUCAGAGGUGAAAUUCUUGGAUUUAUUGAAGACUAACUACUGCGAAAGCAUUUGCCAAGGAUGUUUUCUAUUAAUCAAGAACGAAAGUUAAGGGGAGUCGAAGACGAUCAGAUACCGUCGUAGUCUUAACCAUAAACUAUGCCGACUAGGGAUCGGAUGAUGUUAAUUUUUUAAUGACUCA
rnacentral:rRNA from 1 species